CCCUUAGAUGUCCUGGGCUGCACGCGCGCUACACUGACACAUGCAACGAGUUUUUCCUUGCCUGAAAGGGUUGGGUAAUCUCCUUGAAAGUGUGUCGUGAUGGGGAUAGAUUAUUGCAAUUAUUAAUCUUCAACGAGGAAUUCCUAGUAAGUGCAAGUCAUCAGCUUGCGCUGAUUACGUCCCUGCCCUUUGUACACACCGCCCGUCGCUCCUACCGAUUGGGUGUGCUGGUGAAAUGUUCGGAUCGGCCGUUUGUCGCGGUUUCCGCGUCAUGUGGCUGAGAAGUUCAUUAAACCCUCCCACCUAGAGGAAGGAGAAGUCGUAACA
rnacentral:rRNA from 1 species